UCGGCCUGUCGAGAUAGAACCCUUGCCUUUUUGAGUACCUUUCGUUUCCUCGGCAGGCUCGCCUGCCAAUGGGGACCCCAAAAAAACACUUUGCAGUACCUGUAAUAGUCUGAACAAACAAAACAAAAAUUAAAACUUUCAACAACGGAUCUCUUGGUUCUGGCAUCGAUGAAGAACGCAGCGAAAUGCGAUAAGUAGUGUGAAUUGCAGAAUUCAGUGAAUCAUCGAAUCUUUGAACGCACAUUGCGCCCUUUGGUAUUCCUUAGGGCAUGCCUGUUCGAGCGUCAUUUAAACCCUCAAGCUCAGCUUGGUGUUGGGUGACUGUCCGCUUCACCGCGGACUCGCCUCAAAAUUAUUGGCGGCCGGUACAUUGGCUUCGAGCGCAGCAGAAACGCGAACUCGGGCCCGUCGUAUUGGCUCCCAGAAGCUAUCUUCACAAUUUUGACCUCGGAUCAGGUAGGGAUACCCGCUGAACUUAAGCAUAUCAAUAAGCCCGGAGGAA
rnacentral:rRNA from 1 species